CCUACGGGGUGCAGCAGUGGGGAAUAUUGCACAAUGGGCGCAAGCCUGAUGCAGCCAUGCCGCGUGUGUGAAGAAGGCCUUCGGGUUGUAAAGCACUUUCAGCGGGGAGGAAGGCGUUAAGGUUAAUAACCUUGUCGAUUGACGUUACCCGCAGAAGAAGCACCGGCUAACUCCGUGCCAGCAGCCGCGGUAAUACGGAGGGUGCAAGCGUUAAUCGGAAUUACUGGGCGUAAGGCGCACGCAGGCGGUCUGUCAAGUCGGAUGUGAAAUCCCCGGGCUCAACCUGGGAACUGCAUUCGAAACUGGCAGGCUAGAGUCUUGUAGAGGGGGGUAGAAUUCCAGGUGUAGCGGUGAAAUGCGUAGAGAUCUGGAGGAAUACCGGUGGCGAAGGCGGCCCCCUGGACAAAGACUGACGCUCAGGUGCGAAAGCGUGGGGAGCAAACAGGAUUAGAUACCCUAGUAGUC
rnacentral:rRNA from 1 species